UACGAAGGGGGCUAGCGUUGCUCGGAAUGACUGGGCGUAAAGGGCGCGUAGGCGGCUUGCACCGUCAGAUGUGAAAUUCCUGGGCUUAACCUGGGGGCUGCAUUUGAUACGUGUGGGCUUGAGUGCGGAAGAGGGUCGUGGAAUUCCCAGUGUAGAGGUGAAAUUCGUAGAUAUUCGCAAGAACACCAGUGGCGAAGGCGGCUCACUGGCCCGAUACUGACGCUGAGGCACGAAAGCGUGGGGAGCAAACAGG
rnacentral:rRNA from 1 species